UUCCACUGUUUCUGAAGUCACACUUUUCCAUCUUCAGAAGUCUUGGCUUUAGUUUUCAUGGAGUUGCUGUCCUGCAGACAGUCUCUGAACACCAUGUGUAUUUUCUCCAUAAAUAGGGUGUCAUGUUGAUAAACACAGUUUGAUCUCCCAGUUGGAGCAAGAAGACAAGACGGUGACAGAGGAGAGAGGAAUCCUUCCCAGCACCUGUCCAGAUUUGGAUACUGUACUUAAAACCAAAUGGCUGACUCCUAAGAAGCAUGUUUUUAGAAAAGAACAGACUAAAAGUAUAAAAAUGGUAAGACAAUGGAUGAUUUCUGGUUUUCCAUAGUAGGAAGAAAUCCCAU
rnacentral:lncRNA from 1 species